GCAGUGGGCGGCGGAGGUAUAGCCUCUCCCUCUCAGUCUGGAGGCUAAUUUGAUGGCAACAAACAGAGAGAGAGAGAGAGAGCAAAGUCUCCAAGGAACCGAAAGAUCCUCUGCUUAAUGGGAUGGGAGCAGUGACCACCCAUGCAGUGAAACCCCAGGAUCUCGAUAAUAUUUGGUUGCAGACGAUUGAAUGUAUUUGGCAGGUUUUUCAUUUGAAUUCUACAUGCAGCCCCUGUGCCCAAUCUCCUGAGCAGUCCUGAAAAUGUUGCCUCAGGAUGAGAACAGAUCAACCAAGAGCUGACAAGAAUCCUACUUCGACCAUGACACUGUGCAGUGAAUGUGAGCAGUCUCUGUGUUGCAUUAAGUACAAACUGAGACAAGGACCAGUGAGAGGCAAAACUCUGGGAACAUCUUGAUGUCUUAAAGAGAGAUUGUUCUAUACAAGGAAGUCUGAUUGUCAUCACUUGAAAAUGCUAGGACUCUUUCUGUGCUGAAUGAUGAAUGCCAGCCAACUCCUGUCUUGCUGUGAUUGUAGGGGUUCCUGGCAUCGUGAUUUAAUAAUUAAAUAAAAGUGAAAAAUCACAUUGCCAGGGAUUACCACACAGUUGCAAGCACAUGCCAGCUAUGUUACUGAGAACUCUGACCAGGACAGCACGCUUGAAGAGUAAUAUCUUCCCAUUGUAUGAGUCACAGGGGCUGAAGUCAUUAGCUUCUUGUUGUUGUCGUCCAGUGCUUAGCAGGGACUAAGUAUUAUUUUUACAUUUUUGGUUUUAAAAGGUAUAGACAAAUUCAAUUCUGUAUCUAGGUGAGAGUCAGGUCAAUAUUCUGGAAAGGAUAUUAAACU